GUGUGGUCGGUCCGUGUACGGAUCUGGUAAUUGGAUUUUCCGUUCUGAAACAACGGGUAUUGAAAAACAAAAAACGAGUGGUUAUUUGAUUUUCGUUUUAAAAUACAAAAAUUUAAAUUGAAAUACAAGGCGUUUUUCCUUUUCAUGAUCAAAAAGGGAUGUACGAUUUUUUUUAAAUGCUUUGAUUUUCGUUUUAUAUUUAGAAUAACAAGAAAGCAAAAUCAGUAAGAGACAGAAACGAAAAAAGGUCCGUAUUUUCAUUUUCUGAGACCGGAAGUGGUCAUCAGCAAGUGUGGAGCCAAACGACAACAAGAUUCUCAGAGGGCGGAGCCAGAGAGCAGCGAUUGGUCAGACUGACUGAGAGCCAGAGAGCAGUGAUUGGUCAGACCAUAGAUAAUAUAGAAGACAGCGCGCUAGCGUAUCUAGUCUUCUAUAUAUCUAUGGUCGGCACGUCUGGUAGCAUCUCUGGCUGCUGUUGAUCUUGUUUUUGGAGUAAAACACGGUAAGAAGAUAAAUACUUCUAACCAGUAGCGUUGUUUUGUUGUACGUUAAGUCAGCGACUUGUGAAGAGUUGUGUUUUGUCGUGUUUGAGCAGUUGGUCCGGACGCGUUAGCUAGCUAAGCGGCUAAGUUAGCUAGCGGGCUAAUCAACACAGGUGGCUAACUUACCGCUGAACACCUGUGUUAGUUGCUGCUGCAGCUGUCCGUCAUUAAUAGACUGACCUUCUCAACCUGUAUUUCUCUGCUGUGUAUUUUAGGUUUUAAAAAAGUUAUUUUUCUUUAAGGUUAACUGAAACCCGUUGAGCUGCACUGAAGUUUAACAUUCAGCUGGUUUGAAUUAAACUGCGCUUAACUUAACAUUGUGCAACAUUACCUCUCUGAAUCUCUAUAAUUUCAUUAAAUUCCUUCUCUCCUCCACUGCUCAAGUUCAAUCCAGUAUAUAAAAUGAUAUUAAUAGUGAAUAAACUAACAACCAGCCAUUGUAUUUAUUUAUUACUGUAUGUAUUUGUAGUAAAACAUGAGUUGAAACAUUCUACUUUUGGAUCUAGAACUGCACAAGUCGUUCAUUUUCAGUCACCUGACGAGUUAAACUCCCCUUUUUAUGUGAGGUUGAAGCAGAAAGUCUGAGUUAACAAAGAAAGUUGUUUAUAAUUUGUGAUACCUGUUAUCUCUGACUGAGGCUUUAGUUUUUUUUGAGCUGAUUUACACGUAGAAACUUUGUUCAGGAAAAUUUCUCAGUAGCUCAGAGGACAGGCUGCUUUUUACACAACCUUGUAAGAGAAUGUCUGUCAAUGCUUUCAGCAGAAUUUAGAAACACAACACUUCCUAAACAGAUAUUUUGAGGCUGUGAGUCUGACGUUUGAGAGUAUAUCUGUGUGUUUGUUUGUGGUCUUUCUGUUUCUAGGUGGAAGCUGAAUUAGUGAGGAUGACUCCUGCUCCUGUCAUCUCUAAGCUCCUCACACAUCUUUACCUGCACAUGAGGAAAAUCACUCCUGUAGAAUGCAGUGGUUCAUCAGAACCUCUGGGGAUGUCCUGUGGAUUCUGUGGAUCCUGUGGGUUGCAGGGUGGGUCCUACCUGGACCAGGCUGAUCCUGGACCAUCCCACAGAUGCUCAAUCAGAUCUGGAUGUGGGGAGUGUGGAACCCAGAUGUUCAGAGGGAGAUGAUGCCACAUCUGGUCCAGCUGAUGGAAGGUCUUGAAGUUCUCUGACUGGCCUCGACUGAAGAUGGUCGUCUCACUGGAUUUAAGGUUCAGAUGCUCAGUAACAAACUCCACCAAUGAGCCAACAGGGAAGCUUUAGGUUUAUUAAAUGUUGCUAUGAAGGUAUCGCUGUUUUUCUUUGUGAAUGCAAUGUGCUCCAACUGAAACUUGAAUUAGAACUUAGAAGUAAAUCCUUCCAUCUGAAAGGAUUUAGUUGCAUUAAUAACCUCAUAACAUUCUAAUUUUUAUUUCCAGUCUUGGUUGGAAA